GCUAUAUUCACGUACUAUGUAUUUAUUAACAACGUUGUGUUUUAUAACCUAAAGAACAGAAAAAUGUUAUGAGAAUAAGCCCACGACGAAGCACGUCCGAGUGUGUCAUGUGCCUGGCCAGCCUCGGAAACCGGAAAAAUCAAAUCGACGAAAGUUCAUGGAAACCGGAAAAAUCAAAUCGACGAAAGUUCAUAGAAACCGGAAAAAUCAAGUCGACGAAAGUUCAUGGAAACCAGAUGUAUAAGCGGUAGCAGAGGCAAGCUAAAAGACUCAAUACUUGGACAUUUAUUGUGGGAAAGGAACAUUACACAAUUUUUCAAGUGUACAAAUAGAAUUGUAGCGAACAAUUUUAUAAUUACUCAAGAUUAUUUUAUUGUAUCGGAAUGAAACAAUUGUUGGAU